ensembl:snRNA U6 U6 spliceosomal RNA
UUGCUUGAGCAGCACACACACUAACAUUGGAAUAAUACACAGAUUAACAUGGCUCCUGCACAAAGAUGACACACAAAAUCAUGAUCUUCUGGGUUUGGGCUUUU